rnacentral:rRNA from 1 species
UAAACUACGAUUAGAUACCCUAUUAUUUUAAACGUAAAUAUGUAUGCCUGAGUAGUAAUAGUUAUGUUCUUGAAACUCAAAGAAUUUGGCGGUGUUUUAGUCUUUUCAGAGGAACCUGUCCCGUAAUCGAUAAUCCACGUAAACCUUACUUAAUUUUGUUUCAGCUUGUAUACCUCCGUCGUCAGAAUAUCCUUUAAAGGUUCAAAUUUUCUUAAAUUUUAAUUAAAAAUGAUGUCAGGUCAAGGUGCAGCUUAUGAUUAAGUGGAGAUGGGUUACAAUAAAUAUAUUUAAUACGAAGAAUACUUUGCAAUAGGUAUUUGAAGGUGGAUUUGAUAGUAAUUCAAUUUAUUAUAAUAGUUUGAUUUUAGCUCUAAAACAUGCACACAUCGCCCGUCGCUCUUA